AGGACGGUUCGAGUAAGUGAUAUUUCGGAACAGUAUCUAGUUCCUUCAAUACCAAUGUGUUCUAGUAAUAUGAAUUUUUCUGUGUUGGUGUACUAGAACACAUUGGUAUUGAAGGAACUAGAUACUGUUCCGAAAUAUCACUUACUCGAAC